rnacentral:rRNA from 1 species
CACGUAGGGUGCGAGCGUUGUCCGGAAUUAUUGGGCGUAAAGAGCUCGUAGGCGGUGUGUCGCGUCGGCCGUGAAAACCUGCAGCUUAACUGUGGGCUUGCGGUCGAUACGGGCAUCACUGGAGUUCGGCAGGGGAGACUGGAAUUCCUGGCGUAGCGGUGAAAUGCGCAGAUAUCAGGAGGAACACCGGUGGCGAAGGCGGGUCUCUGGGCCGAUAUUGACGCUGAGGAGCGAAAGCGUGGGGAGCAAACAGG